GCCUACGGGGCGCAGCAGUGAGGAAUAUUGGUCAAUGGGCGCGAGCCUGAACCAGCCAAGUCGCGUGAGGGAAGACGGUCCUAUGGAUUGUAAACCUCUUUUGUCGGGGAGCAGAAGACGCCACGUGUGGCGUUCCGAGAGUACCCGAAGAAAAAGCAUCGGCUAACUCCGUGCCAGCAGCCGCGGUAAUACGGAGGAUGCGAGCGUUAUCCGGAUUUAUUGGGUUUAAAGGGUGCGCAGGCGGAAGAUCAAGUCAGCGGUAAAAUUGAGAGGCUCAACCUUUUCGAGCCGUUGAAACUGGUUUU
rnacentral:rRNA from 1 species